GUCUACGGACCAAAGAGGGGGACCUUCGGGCCUCUCGCGUCGGGAUAUGCCCAGGUGGGAUUAGCUAGUUGGUGAGGUAAAGGCUCACCAAGGCGACGAUCUCUAGCUGGUCUGAGAGGAUGAUCAGCCACACUGGAACUGAGACACGGUCCAGACUCCUACGGGAGGCAGCAGUGGGGAAUAUUGCACAAUGGGCGCAAGCCUGAUGCAGCCAUGCCGCGUGUAUGAAGAAGGCCUUCGGGUUGUAAAGUACUUUCAGCAGUGAGGAAGGGUGUAGUUUUAAUAGAGUUACAUUUUGACGUUAGCUGCAGAAGAAGCACCGCUAC
rnacentral:rRNA from 1 species